rnacentral:rRNA from 1 species
UACGAAGGGGGCUAGCGUUGCUCGGAAUCACUGGGCGUAAAGCGCACGUAGGCGGAUUGCUAAGUCAGGGGUGAAAUCCUGGAGCUCAACUCCAGAACUGCCUUUGAUACUGGCGAUCUUGAGUCCGGGAGAGGUGAGUGGAACUGCGAGUGUAGAAGUGAAAUUCGUAGAUAUUCGCAAGAACACCAGUGGCGAAGGCGGCUCACUGGCCCGGUACUGACGCUGAGGUGCGAAAGCGUGGGGAGCAAACAGG